UCGCGCCCCCAAAUCAGCCAGCCUUCCACCCUCGAUCCCAUCCGCCGCCGACCACCCUUCGCCGCUCCCGUCGACCUCAGCGACAGCCGAUAACCCUCCGCCGUCCCCGACUCUAGCCUCACCCUUCCCCGCCCCCGACCACCCUCCACCGUUCCCAAACCCCUACCGCUCCCGGCUUCCUUCCCGACCACCGUGGCGGGCAAGGGUUUGACGCCGCCGGCCCUCCUGGCCGUCCUCCGGUUGGUCGCUAGAGGAAAUGGCUUCCACCCUCCUUCCAAAGCUUGUGACCACGGAUCAGGCUCCUCCCACCGUUCCUUCCCCUCUCCUUCUUGGAGCCGCGUGUGACCACGGAUCUGGCUCUCCACCAGCGGCAGCUGGGAUGGCGCGGAUCCACCUCUUCUCCACAAGAGCCGGCCGAGACGACGUGGAUUUGCAUCUCCUCCUCCCUCCCUGCCAUGGCCGCCUUUAUCUGCUGCGCCCCCCGCCUCGCAGCUCUGCUUCUGGACGGAGAUCUGGAGGAGUACCCGCCGCUCACCGUGGCUUCAAUCCUUCUUCCCAGCUGGCCCCAGAGGCACAACGUUAAGGGUGCAAGCUCGACUGUUUCAACAGUCUGCCUUGGCGUGAUGGCUCCCCGUCAACAACCAGGUUGACCAUGGCCUAUGCUAGCUUCAGUUCCUUCCCCUGUCCCAGUCCGCUGGAAGUGUCUCUGCUGCCUCCCCAAGACGCUGGAAGGUCACCCGCAUCGAUGCUCUUUCCGCCACUUCCACAAGCCACCAGACCGAAAAAGAAUGGAAAAGGAAGAGAUAAGACAAUGCUGAAGCACAAGAGCAAGAGAGGCUAGCUAUACUUAAAGCAAGGAACAGCGAGGAUUCUGAACGAUUUGGGUCCUUUAAAUUUUCAAAUCUAAAUGAAGAUUUUGGAGGCCGAGCCAGUCAGGGACAAAAUAAAAGGAAGAAGGUGAUCUGUUUGGUUACUGCAUCUACUGUACAAUUGCAUCUAUCGUAAAACUGCAUCUUGUUACAUGCUUUGUGCAGCCCACUUUGUCAUGCACAUUAAUUCAUGCUUUGCACAGUUCACUUUGUCAUGCAUAUUAAUUCAUGCUUUUUGCAGUUCACUUUGUCAUGCACAUAUUAGGUGCAUGUUGAUGUGAAGUUCUCACAUCAUCUUGUUUGCUAAUUUGUAGAGCAAUGUAGAAUAUCCUACUGUUAAAGUAACUCGAGUUCUUAGGUCCUAUAUAACUAGAGAUACUCCAUGAGCAGCAUAGAUGAGAUACUUUUAUUCUUGUCAGCCCGCCUGAAUGCACGAGAGAGCCUAGCUGUUGCUCAAAGACUGAAUGCAAAACCCACUGCAGCCCAGUCUAUGAGAAAAGCAGACCAGCAAGCCUGAGAUGAUGUGUUUCCAAAAUAAUUGAGUGUUGACUAAUGCCAUAGUACUACCAUGGUUCAAAUGUUGAAUUUUUUUCCUGUGUUUUUCUUUAAGCUGGCCCGCCCAGCUAUUUUGUUGUAGCUCGGCCACUGAUCCAAAGUAAAACAAUAUUCUGCACUAGAAACAGUACAAGAUAUCUCUGGGUCAACUUAUGUAAUAAAGUAAUCUUUGCAUGCAGAUUGUUAAUAUCAAUGAGAAACUUUAUCUCAAGUUAUUAUAUGAUCUUAGUUACUGUAGUUUUCAGUAUGGUUGCUCUUGCCAGUCGACUUUAGCUUAGCCUCCAUUUCUGAAUGUCUUGAAUUGAUUUCUCUUCCUGUGUUUGUCGCUCUUCCUAUUUCCAUUCCCGGUGCCAUAGUAAUAUAUAAUUGUUUCUGAUGAAUAUAAGACAUUCAGUGUGCUUAAGGACAUGGGCAAAACCAAGUAUAAUUUUAAGAGGAGCAUUUACGAGAUCGAGUAGCUGCAUGAUUUCUCAAUGCAAAGCUCCUAGCUGUGUUUGUGCACUUAUUCUUCCAAUAUAUUCUUAGGAUAUGCCUAACUACAGUUUUGUCACAUGGAUUCCUCCUUAUUUUGUUAUCAACUCACUUGAACUUAAUUAGUUUAUCUGUUAAUGUUACUGACUUGAAUUGUUUCUGAAUGUAUUAGGUACCAAUUUGUCAAUCUUUUACUAAAUAUAAAUAAAAUACAAAAAUGUUGCAACAAAAUGGGUCUGAUUCCAGAACUAAGCAUAUUUUUUAUACCCCAUUCUCAACUAUAUGCUCUAGAUUAUUAUGUUGUAGUUUGAAAUCCAAAUAUAAAGAUAAUUACAAUUUUUAUCUAAUUCACAACCUAUAUACAGGAACCGGCAGCAUUUUAGUCCAUUUUAAUCUGUAUCCAAUUUAGUAAACAAAAUUAGGCGAAAUGGAAAUACAGAGGAAAAAUGAAAUAGCCCACCUAAAGAUUUCCCCAUAACCAUUUUGAUUUGUACAAGUGGUAAUUUAACCUUCCAAUAUGCAGAUAUUGUGACUUCACUUAGGAUAGCGGAUCCCAGGAUCUUUAAGCAAGCCCUUGAUAGACAUGCAGACCACUAAGUUCACAUAUUUGUGUUCUGAAAAAGUUUCGGCCCUCUGCUGUCACGGAUUGCUUCUUACUUUAUUGUACAGGGACCCUGAUUGCUUUGCGUGGACACUGAUUGCUUAUUUCUCUUGGAGGGUUACUAAAAUGCGGUGUCUACCUUGUGUUGGAAAAAGUUGAACUCCAGGUCUACCGGAGAUUAGUUAAGAAAAUGCAUAUCAUCCAGAGGGAGAAGGAACCAUCGUCUAAGGCGCAUCAAAUCAAGCUAGAGGUCUCUGCAUCCAUUUUAGUCGAGUAGCAGUCUUGCGAAAGGUGACCGUGGCAAACAUUUUAUCCUGCUACAAGCACAUUAUUUGGAUGAAAUGGUGUUUAUUGUUGGUGGCUUAUUUGUAUGCCUAACAAGUUGGGAGCUUUUCUUCAGGGUUUCCCAAAGAUACACUACUUGAUGGAGGUUUGGAUGAUCUACAAGCUGCUGAAGGUUUGCAAGAUCUACUAUUAAGUUGGUGGAGUGAUAAUGUAAUGCGCCUUGUUUGUUGAACCUGGAGACAUUGGCAAGUUGUGCUCUUUUUGGUGGUUGGUUUGGCACAUAGGCCACUAUAUGGCCAUUUUGGUUGUGGGACACAUGUAGAAACAUAUAUACUUCUCCCAUUGUGGCACUACUUCAUUUUGGUUGUGUGGCACAUCUAUCUAGAAACAUGUAUGUACUCCUUUUGUG